AGUCGAACGAUGAUCAGGAGCUUGCUCCUGUGAUUAGUGGCGAACGGGUGAGUAACACGUGAGUAACCUGCCCCUGACUCUGGGAUAAGCGUUGGAAACGACGUCUAAUACUGGAUAUGGCUUCCGGCCGCAUGGUCUGGUUGUGGAAAGAUUUUUUGGUUGGGGAUGGACUCGCGGCCUAUCAGCUUGUUGGUGAGGUAAUGGCUCACCAAGGCGACGACGGGUAGCCGGCCUGAGAGGGUGACCGGCCACACUGGGACUGAGACACGGCCCAGACUCCUACGGGAGGCAGCAGUGGGGAAUAUUGCACAAUGGGCGAAAGCCUGAUGCAGCAACGCCGCGUGAGGGAUGACGGCCUUCGGGUUGUAAACCUCUUUUAGUAGGGAAGAAGCGAAAGUGACGGUACCUGCAGAAAAAGCACCGGCUAACUACGUGCCAGCAGCCGCGGUAAUACGUAGGGUGCAAGCGUUGUCCGGAAUUAUUGGGCGUAAAGAGCUCGUAGGCGGUUUGUCGCGUCUGCUGUGAAAUCCCGAGGCUCAACCUCGGGCUUGCAGUGGGUACGGGCAGACUAGAGUGCGGUAGGGGAGAUUGGAAUUCCUGGUGUAGCGGUGGAAUGCGCAGAUAUCAGGAGGAACACCGAUGGCGAAGGCAGAUCUCUGGGCCGUAACUGACGCUGAGGAGCGAAAGCAUGGGGAGCGAACAGGAUUAGAUACCCUGGUAGUCCAUGCCGUAAACGUUGGGCGCUAGAUGUAGGGACCUUUCCACGGUUUCUGUGUCGUAGCUAACGCAUUAAGCGCCCCGCCUGGGGAGUACGGCCGCAAGGCUAAAACUCAAAGGAAUUGAC
rnacentral:rRNA from 1 species